UUAAUACUCCCUCCGUCCCAAAAUAAGUGUCGCUGAUUUAGUACAAAGUUAGUACUCCCUAGUGUCAAAAAUGAUCUUAUAUUUUGGGACGGAGGGAGUACUAACUUUAUACUAAAUCAGCGACACUUAUUUUGGGAAGGAGGGGGUACAAG
rnacentral:pre_miRNA from 1 species